rnacentral:rRNA from 1 species
GACGAACCGUGCGAACGUUAUUCGGAUUCACUGGGCUUAAAGGGCGCGUAGGCGGGCUCGCCAGUCGGGGGUGAAAGCCCACGGCUCAACCGUGGAAGUGCCUUUGAUACUGCGAGUCUCGAGGGAGGUAGGGGCGUGCGGAACUUCCGGUGGAGCGGUGAAAUGCGUAGAUAUCGGAAGGAACACCGGUGGCGAAAGCGGCGCGCUGGACCUCUUCUGACGCUGAGGCGCGAAAGCCAGGGGAGCAAACGGG